UACGUAGGGGGCAAGCGUUGUCCGGAUUUAUUGGGCGUAAAGAGUGUGUAGGCGGCUUUACAGGUCCGUUGUGAAAACUCGAGGCUCAACCUCGAGACGCCGGUGGAAACCGUAAAGCUAGAGUCCGGAAGAGGAGAGUGGAAUUCCUGGUGUAGCGGUGAAAUGCGCAGAUAUCAGGAGGAACACCCGUGGCGAAAGCGGCUCUCUGGAACGGUACUGACGCUGAGACGCGAAAGCGUGGGGAGCGAACAGG
rnacentral:rRNA from 1 species